rnacentral:rRNA from 1 species
GAAUUGUUCGCAAUGGGCGCAAGCCUGACGACGCAACGCCGCGUGGAGGAUGAAGAUCUUCGGGUCGUAAACUCCUUUCGAUCGGGAAGAACAUUUUCGGUGUGAACAACACCGAGAAGUGACGGUACCGGGAGAAGAAGCCCCGGCUAACUCUGUGCCAGCAGCCGCGGUAAUACGUAGGGGGCAAGCGUUGUCCGGAUUUAUUGGGCGUAAAGCGCUCGCAGGUGGUUCGAUGCGUCGUGCGUGAAAGACCCCGGCUCAACUGGGGAGUGUCGUGCGAUACGGUCGAACUGGAGGCCAGUAGGGGGAUGCGGAAUUCCGGGUGUAGUGGUGGAAUGCGUAGAGAUCCGGAGGAACACCAGCGGCGAAGGCGGCAUCCUGGACUGGUCCUGACACUCAUGAGCGAAAGCGUGGGGAGCGAUC